rnacentral:rRNA from 1 species
UACGGAGGGUGCAAGCGUUAUCCGGAUUCACUGGGUUCAAAGGGUGCGUAGGCGGAUAUGUAAGUCCGUGGUGAAAUCUCUGGGCUUAACCCGGAAACUGCCAUGGAUACUAUGUGUCUUGAAUGUUGUUGAGGUGAGCGGAAUAUGUCAUGUAGCGGUGAAAUGCUUAGAUAUGACAUAGAACACCAAUUGCGAAGGCAGCUCACUAAGCAAAUAUUGACGCUGAGGCACGAAAGCGUGGGGAUCAAACAGG